GGAGUACUUACGUGUACACAAACCUUUAUCUGUAAGCCACAUAUGGAAUCUGCACCUGGGUUUAAUUCGGCUCUCCAAAUUAAAACACAGAUAUGCUGGAAAUAUAUCCAGUUCCUGCAAUGAGGAUCCCAAAUGCUGGCAGAGGAAGUUCACUUUCUGCUCUAGCAUUUCUGGCUUUUGGUUUAGGAUCUUUGGCAUCGUUCUUAUCAUCAUACAGAGCUUCGAGAAUGCAAUCCCCAAAUGAAGAAGGCAAUCAAAUCGCUCCUGCAGUUCACUACUAGU
rnacentral:misc_RNA from 1 species